rnacentral:misc_RNA from 1 species
GAUGUUAAAGGAGGAGAUGAUCGUUGCAAUAGGCCUCCGCUGAGUGGAAGUUAUGGCCAGUUCGCAGAGUUUUGAGAAUAAGAGAGAGUCAAGAUAGAGCCAUUGGCUUCGCGCGGUUUCCAACAAGUAAUUUUAUAAUUACGAUAAAUUACAAUUACGUCCUUAAAGUUUAAUAAAACUCACAUUUCAGUCUCUGAUGUAAGUUUAAUAAUAAUUUAAUCCUUAAAUUUUAUUUAUGUUUUAUUAACAAAUUGAUUCUCAAAAUUCACUAGUUAUAAAAACCAAUUUGUUAAUAAAAGUAAAACAUAAGGAUGAAAUUGGACCAUAAAGUCCCUCUCAAUUUUCAAUUUUGAACAGGUUUGAUUUGAUUUUGAUCAAAG